rnacentral:rRNA from 1 species
GAUGAACGCUGGCGGCGUGCCUAAUACAUGCAAGUCGAGCGAACAGACGAGGAGCUUGCUCCUCUGACGUUAGCGGCGGACGGGUGAGUAACACGUGGAUAACCUACCUAUAAGACUGGGAUAACUUCGGGAAACCGGAGCUAAUACCGGAUAAUAUAUUGAACCGCAUGGUUCAAUAGUGAAAGACGGUUUUGCUGUCACUUAUAGAUGGAUCCGCGCCGCAUUAGCUAGUUGGUAAGGUAACGGCUUACCAAGGCAACGAUGCGUAGCCGACCUGAGAGAGUGAUCGGCCACACUGGAGCGGAGACACGGUCCAGACUCCUACGGGAGGCAGCAGUAGGGAAUCUUCCGCAAUGGUCGAAAGCCUGACGGAGCAACGCCGCGUGAGUUAUGAAGGUCUUCGGAGCGUAAAACUCUGUUAUUAGGGAAGAACAAAUGUGUAAGUAACUAUGCACGUCUUGACGGUACCUAAUCAGAAAGCCACGGCUAACUACGUG